AAAAAAAAAAAAAAAAAAAGACUCUGAACUGGAUAUCAGAUAGCAUAUUACCAACAACAUGUAAAUUGUAGCUAAACCAGUACAUGUUUCAGCGUCUGAAGUAAAGUAUUUGCGCAAGAUUUCUCUCGCUCAUGCUCUCUCAAAUUCGCAUAGAAACAUCCACGUGUUAGCUUCCUCGACUCACUGGUAGUCAACUUCAUUAAUUUCAGGGCGGAUUUGGAGAAUUGAUCAGAUGACCAUGGCAGCUUUUGCACGCGUGUGGAGUGGCAGUUUGUUCAGUUCCUGUUUGCUCCUAUUCAUUAAAUUCCUCCUUCUAUGCAUUUCACUGAAAUGUUGUUUUCUUUAUGGUAUCUCCCAAUUCUGCCUCUCCAAAUUUCUUGACUCUACCAGUAAUAAGAUCAUUUGCAAGUUUAGUCUAUGCUUCGCUACUAUAGUUUCCUUGACAAUCAAGCCCAGAAAUCCCACCACUGGCAACCACUGUUUGAUUGAUCGAAAAGGCCCUUAGAGUCUAAACUCCCCCAAUCUUCUUGUGAUGUGGUCAAUGAUCCAUCACCGGGUUCCACCAUGCUCAUAAGGUUGGGUUCUUCCUCUAACCCAAAAUAUCCAACCUUUAUGCUACUGUCUUCAUCUGAAACAACUCCCAAUCGUUGUGAUGAUCUUUCAAUUAAUGACAAGCUGCGGUUCGCUUCUGAGUCACACUUUGUGGCCUCUCCAUUCUCUGAUUCACCUUCACUGCUAUUCACACCUACGCCCUCCCCACAACACUCGCCUUCCUCUCUUCGCUUCUGCAACUGAUCAUUCAGUUUCUGCAACUGGAUUGCCAACGCCUGCUUCUCAUUCUUCAGAGACUCAAACCUGGAAGCCAAGCUAUUGUAAUUGGCUAAUAGUAUCCUAUAGUCUCUUUCGAGCUGCUUGGACUUCCAUCUAGCUCUCUUAUUCUGAAACCAUAUUGCAACCUGUCGCGGCUGCAAACCAAGUUCUUUAGCAAGCUGCAGUUUCUUUCGAGGCUCAAGCCUUGAUUCAUUUUCAAACAUGGACUCCAAUGAUUUAAUCUGUUCAUCACUGAACCUCCUCUUAUUCUUGUUCUUCUUCUUUCUAGUGGUGGCGAGUGAGUCCAUGGAGCUAUAAGGCUCCUCUGUGGAAGGCGAAUAUUCUGCUUCAUCAAACUUCAUGUUGUUGGGAUCUCUGCAGGAAUUUUGAGUCCCUAAUUAGAAGUGUGAAACUAUUUAUCGAAUUACGACUUUGCGAGAGUGUUAGUACGGCUCCGCCUCUGAGUGAAAUGAUCUACUUGUUGCCCUUAUAUCCCGCUCCGUGCGGCCGG
rnacentral:misc_RNA from 1 species